GAUGAACGCUGGCGGCGUGCCUAAUACAUGCAAGUCGAGCGAAUGGAUUAAGAGCUUGCUCUUAUGAAGUUAGCGGCGGACGGGUGAGUAACACGUGGGUAACCUGCCCAUAAGACUGGGAUAACUCCGGGAAACCGGGGCUAAUACCGGAUAACAUUUUGAACCGCAUGGUUCGAAAUUGAAAGGCGGCUUCGGCUGUCACUUAUGGAUGGACCCGCGUCGCAUUAGCUAGUUGGUGAGGUAACGGCUCACCAAGGCAACGAUGCGUAGCCGACCUGAGAGGGUCAUCGGCCACACUGGGACUGAGACACGGCCCAGACUCCUACGGGAGGCAGCAGUAGGGAAUCUUCCACAAUGGACGAAAGUCUGACGGAGCAACGCCGCGUGAGUGAUGAAGGCUUUCGGGUCGUAAAACUCUGUUGUUAGGGAAGAACAAGUGCUAGUUGAAUAAGCUGGCACCUUGACGGUACCUAACCAGAAAGCCUCGGCUAACUACGUGCCAGCAGCCGCAGUAA
rnacentral:rRNA from 1 species